AUGCUGUGAUGAGGGCACUUUCGUAAUAACUCCUUGAACUGCUCCCAUGCCUCAUAUAAAGAUUCUUCAUCAAGUUGCCGAAAUGAAGUCAUUUCAUUUCGGAUCUU
rnacentral:snoRNA from 1 species